GGGCGCGCGCUUUCCGCUCUCCCGCGCUCCCGAACCUCGCACCGGCGGCCGGCGUCUCUCGCUCAGCCCCGCCGAAGCCAUGGCCAAGUCCAGGGGUCGUCCGCACCUGUGGAUGUGCUUGGCUGCAGCGCUGGCCUCUUUCCUGGGCGGAUUUCUGGUGGGCUGGCUUAGUAAGCCUCUCAAAGAAACAGCCACUUCAGUGAGCCCUCACCAAAAUGUAAGGGGCGAACUGCUGUCUGAGAUGAAAGCUGAAAAUAUUAAAUCAUUUCUUCGCACCACACUGUCUUGAUUAUUGAAGCUACGUGGUAAGCCGUAACAAGGCAUCGACUGAUUCCUCCCACUGUGUUCUUUUAAACAAUUGUUUUAGCUAUUCUAUAUCAUUUGCCUUUUAAUAUAAAAUAUAUAAUAAAUAUGUAUAUGUCUGGAAAAAUUCUUGCUGGGACUUUGAUAAUAAUUGCAUUAAUCUUAUAGAGCAGUUUAGGAGUGCUUGGCAUUUUUACUAUGUCUAGUCUUUCAAUCCAUGAACAUGGUAAGUCUCUCCAAUUAUUUAGGUCUUCCUUUAUUAACAUUUUGCAAUUUUCAGGAUGCAGAUCCUAUACACGUAUUGUUAUAUUUAUAUCAAACUAUGUCAUUUUCUUUGCAGCAAAUGUAAAUCAUAUUGUGUUUAAUUUCAGUUUUCACAUGUUUGUUGUUAGUAUAUAGAAACACUGUUGAUUUUGCAUCAUCUGGCCUGCCUAAACUCAUGUCCUAGUUCUAGGAGUUUUUGUAGAUUCAUUAGGAUUUAUUUUCUGUGUAAGAAAUCAGGCCAUCUUCAAAUAGGGACAAUUUUAUCUCUCUGUUUCCAAACUGUAUGCCAUAUUUAUAUAUAUUGCUUUAUAUAUAUAUAUAGCUUUAUAUUUAUAUAUAUAUAAAUUUGUCCCUAUUGUGCUGGUUGUAAUUCCAAUACUGUGUUGAAUAAAAAUGAUGAGAGCAGACAUUCUUUCCCUGUUUCUAAUCUUAGUGAGAAGCAUUCAGAGUUUCACCAUUAACUGUGAUGCUAUCUG